AGAGUUUGAUCCUGGCUCAGGACGAACGCUGGCGGCGCGCCUAACACAUGCAAGUCGAACGAGCGAGAGAGAGCUUGCUUUCUCAAGCGAGUGGCGAACGGGUGAGUAACGCGUGAGGAACCUGCCUCAAAGAGGGGGACAACAGUUGGAAACGACUGCUAAUACCGCAUAAGCCCACGGGUCGGCAUCGACCAGAGGGAAAAGGAGCAAUCCGCUUUGAGAUGGCCUCGCGUCCGAUUAGCUAGUUGGUGAGGUAAUGGCCCACCAAGGCGACGAUCGGUAGCCGGACUGAGAGGUUGAACGGCCACAUUGGGACUGAGACACGGCCCAGACUCCUACGGGAGGCAGCAGUGGGGAACAUUGCACAAUGGGGGAAACCCUGAUGCAGCGACGCCGCGUGGAGGAAGAAGGUCUUCGGAUUGUAAACUCCUGUUGUUGAGGAAGAUAAUGACGGUACUCAACAAGGAAGUGAAGGCUAACUACGUGCCAGCAGCCGCGGUAAAACGUAGGUCACAAGCGUUGUCCGGAAUUACUGGGUGUAAAGGGAGCGCAGGCGGGAAGACAAGUUGGAAGUGAAAUCUAUGGGCUCAACCCAUAAACUGCUUUCAAAACUGUUUUUCUUGAGUAGUGCAGAGGUAGGCGGAAUUCCCGGUGUAGCGGUGGAAUGCGUAGAUAUCGGGAGGAACACCAGUGGCGAAGGCGGCCUACUGGGCACCAACUGACGCUGAGGCUCGAAAGUGUGGGUAGCANACAGGAUUAGAUACNCUGGUAGUCCACACCGUAAACGAUGAUUACUAGGUGUUGGAGGGUUGACCCCUUCAGUGCCGCAGUUAACACAAUAAGUAAUCCACCUGGGGAGUACGACCGCAAGGUUGAAACUCAAAGGAAUUGACGGGGGCCCGCACAAGCAGUGGAGUAUGUGGUUUAAUUCGACGCAACGCGAAGAACCUUACCAAGUCUUGACAUCCUCUGACGAACGUAGAAAUACGUUUUCUCUUCGGAGCAGAGAGACAGGUGGUGCAUGGUUGUCGUCAGCUCGUGUCGUGAGAUGUUGGGUUAAGUCCCGCAACGAGCGCAACCCUUAUGGUCAGUUACUACGCAAGAGGACUCUGGCCAGACUGCCGUUGACAAAACGGAGGAAGGUGGGGAUGACGUCAAAUCAUCAUGCCCUUUAUGACUUGGGCUACACACGUACUACAAUGGCGUUAAACGAAGAGAAGCAAGACCGCGAGGUGGAGCAAAACUCAGAAACAACGUCCCAGUUCGGACUGCAGGCUGCAACUCGCCUGCACGAAGUCGGAAUUGCUAGUAAUCGCAGAUCAGCAUGCUGCGGUGAAUACGUUCNCCGGGCCCUUGUACACACCGCCCGUNNC
rnacentral:rRNA from 1 species